GGGGUGGUAGCGGCGGUGGCGGCCUUCGGACCCGAUCGUCCUCCCGCAGCGGCCCGCACACAGCCCCGCACACAUUGCUGACCUGUGAGGAUUGUUCAGACGAGACCCCUUUGUUGCCUUGGACGUCAUCUACCUCAAAUUCUCCAGAUCAUUCCCGACGCAAUUCUGAAAAACAUUUUUCAUCACGGGGAGACGAUACUGAGGGUUCUGUCAUGAUACUGGUCACAGUAGGAAGUGGUGAGGGAAAGUUUUCAUAGCUCAGGCUCAAAAUAUGUCCGGAAGUUGGUUCGGGCCAGGAAAAUCCAGCCCACACAGGGCUCUUUCAUGAGCUACUCUAAUACUGGGCCAUCCAAUUUUUGUAUACAGUUCGAUUUCUUGAUUACUGUUCUCUUAAAAUAAAAAAGUUGUUCUCAGCCUA